rnacentral:rRNA from 1 species
GUGAUAAACUGCGAUAAGCUUCGGGGAGUUGCACGUAAACUUUGAUCCGAAGAUUUCCGAAUGAGGAAACUCACUUAGAGUAAUGUCUAAGUAUCAUUAAGUGAAUACAUAGCUUAAUGAGGGGAACUCAGGGAACUGAAACAUCUAAGUACCUGAAGGAAGAGAAAGAAAUUCGAUUCCGUAAGUAGCGGCGAGCGAACGCGGAUUAGCCCAAACCAAUAAAGUUUUCUUUGUUGGGGUUGCGGACAUAUCAUAACGAAGAGGUAUCGUAAUUGAAGAGGUUUGGAAAGACCCACCACAGAAGGUAAUAGUCCUGUAUGUUAAACGAGAAGACUUUAGAUAUGAUCCAGAGUACCACGGGACACGUGAAACCCUGUGGGAAGCAGGAGGGACCACCCUCCAAGGCUAAAUACUACCUAGUGACCGAUAGCGUAUAGUACCGUGAGGGAAAGGUGAAAAGAACCCCGGGAGGGGAGUGAAAUAGAACCUGAAACCCUGCACUUACAAGCUGUGGAAGCACAUUUCUUGUGUGACCGCGUACUUUUUGUAGAACGGGCCAACGAGUUACGUUAAGUAGCAAGGUUAAGCACUUAAGGUGCGGAGCCGUAGCGAAAGCGAGUUUUAACUGAGCGUUCAGUUACUUGACGUAGACCCGAAACCGGGCGACCUACCCAUGAGCAGGAUGAAGCGAAAGUAAAAUUUCGUG